AUGCUGGAGGUAUCAGAAGUGCGAAUGCUGACAUAAGUAACGAUAAAGCGGGUGAAAAGCCCGCUCGCCGGAAGACCAAGGGUUCCUGUCCAACGUUAAUCGGGGCAGGGUGAGUCGACCCCUAAGGCGAGGCCGAAAGGCGUAGUCGAUGGGAAACAGGUUAAUAUUCCUGUACUUGGUGUUACUGCGAAGGGGGGACGGAGAAGGCUAUGUUGGCCGGGCGACGGUUGUCCCGGUUUAAGCGUGUAGGCUGGUUUUCCAGGCAAAUCCGGAAAAUCAAGGCUGAGGCGUGAUGACGAGGCACUACGGUGCUGAAGUAACAAAUGCCCUGCUUCCAGGAAAAGCCUCUAAGCAUCAGGUAACAUCAAAUCGUACCCCAAACCGACACAGGUGGUCAGGUAGAGAAUACCAAGGCGCUUGAGAGAACUCGGGUGAAGGAACUAGGCAAAAUGGUGCCGUAACUUCGGGAGAAGGCACGCUGAUAUGUAGGUGAAGCGACUUGCUCGUGGAGCUGAAAUCAGUCGAAGAUACCAGCUGGCUGCAACUGUUUAUUAAAAACACAGCACUGUGCAAACACGAAAGUGGACGUAUACGGUGUGACGCCUGCCCGGUGCCGGAAGGUUAAUUGAUGGGGUCAGCGCAAGCGAAGCUCUUGAUCGAAGCCCCGGUAAACGGCGGCCGUAACUAUAACGGUCCUAAGGUAGCGAAAUUCCUUGUCGGGUAAGUUCCGACCUGCACGAAUGGCGUAAUGAUGGCCAGGCUGUCUCCACCCGAGACUCAGUGAAAUUGAACUCGCUGUGAAGAUGCAGUGUACCCGCGGCAAGACGGAAAGACCCCGUGAACCUUUACUAUAGCUUGACACUGAACAUUGAGCCUUGAUGUGUAGGAUAGGUGGGAGGCUUUGAAGUGUGGACGCCAGUCUGCAUGGAGCCGACCUUGAAAUACCACCCUUUAAUGUUUGAUGUUCUAACGUUGACCCGUGAUCCGGGUUGCGGACAGUGUCUGGUGGGUAGUUUGACUGGGGCGGUCUCCUCCUAAAGAGUAACGGAGGAGCACGAAGGUUGGCUAAUCCUGGUCGGACAUCAGGAGGUUAGUGCAAUGGCAUAAGCCAGCUUGACUGCGAGCGUGACGGCGCGAGCAGGUGCGAAAGCAGGUCAUAGUGAUCCGGUGGUUCUGAAUGGAAGGGCCAUCGCUCAACGGAUAAAAGGUACUCCGGGGAUAACAGGCUGAUACCGCCCAAGAGUUCAUAUCGACGGCGGUGUUUGGCACCUCGAUGUCGGCUCAUCACAUCCUGGGGCUGAAGUAGGUCCCAAGGGUAUGGCUGUUCGCCAUUUAAAGUGGUACGCGAGCUGGGUUUAGAACGUCGUGAGACAGUUCGGUCCCUAUCUGCCGUGGGCGCUGGAGAACUGAGGGGGGCUGCUCCUAGUACGAGAGGACCGGAGUGGACGCAUCACUGGUGUUCGGGUUGUCAUGCCAAUGGCACUGCCCGGUAGCUAAAUGCGGAAGAGAUAAGUGCUGAAAGCAUCUAAGCACGAAACUUGCCCCGAGAUGAGUUCUCCCUGACCCUUUAAGGGUCCUGAAGGAACGUUGAAGACGACGACGUUGAUAGGCCGGGUGUGUAAGCGCAGCGAUGCGUUGAGCUAACCGGUACUAAUGAACCGUGAGGCUUAACCUUACAACGCCGAAGCUGUU
rnacentral:rRNA from 1 species